rnacentral:rRNA from 1 species
UGCCCACUGAGUUUAUAAAGGGCCGCAGUAAUUUGACUGUGCAAAGGUAGCAUAAUAAUUAGUUUUUUAAUUGAAAGCUGGAAUGAAUGAUUGGACGAGAAUAAAACUGUCUUUAGUUAAUUUAAUUAGAAUUUAAUUUUUAAGUUAAAAAGCUUAAAUUUUAUUUAAAGACGAGAAGACCCUAUAGAGUUUAAUAUUUUAAGUUUACUUAAUUAUUAAAAUUAUUUUUUAAGUUUAAUUAGAAUAUUUUAUUGGGGUGAUAAAAAAAUUUAUGAAACUUUUUUAUUAUAUAGACAAAGAAUUUUGAAUAUUUGAUCCUAAAUAUAGAUUAAUUGAUUAAAUUACCUUAGGGAUAACAGCGUAAUUUUUUUGGAGAGUUCUUAUUGAUAAAAAAGAUUGCGACCUCGAUGUUGGAUUAAGAUUAAAUUUUAAUGUAGAAGUUAAAAAUUUUAAGUCUGUUCGACUUUUAAAAUCUUACAUGAUC